GUGGCGCACGGGUGAGUAACGCGUGGAUAAUCUGCCCUGUGAUCUGGGAUAACACUUCGAAAGGGGUGCUAAUACCGGAUAAGACCACGGAGUCUUAGGACUCUGCGGUAAAAGGUGGGGACCUUCGGGCCUACCGUCAUCGGAUGAGUCCGCGUACCAUUAGCUAGUUGGUAGGGUAAGAGCCUACCAAGGCGACGAUGGUUAGCUGGUCUGAGAGGAUGUUUUUUUCUCACUGGAACUGAGACACGGUCCAGACUCCUACGGGAGGCAGCAGUGGGGAAUUUUGCGCAAUGGGGGAAACCCUGACGCAGCAACGCCGCGUGAGUGAUGAAGGCCUUCGGGUCGUAAAGCUCUGUCAGAGGGGAAGAAGUGUGCGGGUGCUAAUAUCAUCUGCGCUU
rnacentral:rRNA from 1 species